GGAGGAAUACCCAAGUCUAGCUGAAGGGAUCGGUCUUGAAAACCGACAGGGGUGUCAAAGCUCGCGGGGGGUCAAAUCCCUCUUCCUCUUCCA
rnacentral:tRNA from 1 species